GUAAACGCAAUGAACAGGAGUAGUACGUUAAGCUGGGUUCAGAGAGCUGCGGGUCGGUGCAACGCAGUCGAAGGGAUAACGGAAGCUCGCCUGGAAGCGGAAUGGUGGAACUUGGGCUGCGGCUUAGGCAGUACAUCAUUACGGAUAACCUCCGUGAUCGGGUGGCGGCGAAAUGAUUGUCCGGACAUCAUUUUGUUGGCAUGAGGUGGACGUCAGAUUUACGAGUGGCGUCAACAAGAGUGGUACCGCGAUGGACUUUACAGCCUGUCGUCUCUUAU
rnacentral:ncRNA from 1 species